UGCAAGGGAAAGAAUUCAGAGUAAAUAAACAGUCUUUUUCUGGGAAGUAAAAUAUUUCCCUAAGAUGGAGAAAUUGAGAUGAGAGCUCAUCCACAAGAUUACCCAUCAAUGAGCACCAAUAGCAACCAAAUCCACUAGAAGACUGGGAGCUUUUAAGUCAAGAAACUUACAUCAGUAUCAUCAUUCCAAGAAGCGGUAUCCAAGCUGUUUUAUCGAAAGUGCGCAUGGGAGAUGGUGCUGUGAGUGGGGAGUGAGUCAAAAACUCCGCUGGGGUGUACAAAAGUCUACUCAAAUGUCCACAGCAUCUGUGGGGGAUGGAGAAUAGUUGGAGGAUCUUUCUCCAGAAUCCUUCUGUUCUGUAGUACAAGUAUUACUCAUUAUAGACUAGCACGAAAAAUCAAGUGAAAUGCGAACUUAAGAGUUUAAAAAGAAUAAAUGGUGCUUUUCUGGCCUAUUAGUAAUAAAUUAAAUAAAAAUAAUUUUAAUUUGUAAGUAAUGAAUGCUAAUCUACAUUGUAUUAAUUGGGCUUAACCAGAGAGUUUUUGUUUACAUACAUUAGGCAAACAAACAAUAGGAAUGAGGAUUUUUAAUAAAGAAGGAAGCCAGAAACACACACACACAAGCACACACACACACACACACACACACACACACACACACACCAAGUAAGAGAAUACUAAAAGAUCAGAGAAAAUGUAAUUAUACUUAUCAAAAUGUUUUAAUGCAGUGGCCUAUUAGUUUCAGAAUAUAAAAUUUAUUUGAUUUGUUGAGCAACUUGGAGCUUAUUUUUUAAUCCUUUCAGAUAAUAGGAACUUGAAACAUACUUGGCUGUGUAUAAGAUAUAUGUGAUAUUAGAAAAUCAUAUAUAUCUGUUAAUAUAUAUUCAAAUAUAUUACUAAGCAAAAAUAUAUUUACAUGUUUAUAUCAAUGAUGCAAUUAAUAAAUGUUUUCACAUCCUGUGUCUCAAUUUAUCCUUACAUAAAACAAGUGAGUUACUUAUUCUUUAACUUCUCUAGGCAAAUUUCAAAUAUUUUCUGAAUAUAACUACAGAAUGCUUGGUUUGUGUCUCUAUGAAAGGUCUUAACACACUCCUGCAAUGAAUUAUAUGCAUAUGGCUCUCCCAUACUGGGAAUGCCUAGAGGAGAGA
rnacentral:lncRNA from 10 species